rnacentral:rRNA from 1 species
AUUGAACGCUGGCGGCAUGCUUUACACAUGCAAGUCGAACGGUAACAGGCCGCAAGGUGCUGACGAGUGGCGAACGGGUGAGUAAUGCAUCGGAACGUGCCCAGUCGUGGGGGAUAACGCAGCGAAAGCUGUGCUAAUACCGCAUACGAUCUAUGGAUGAAAGCGGGGGACCGUAAGGCCUCGCGCGAUUGGAGCGGCCGAUGUCAGAUUAGGUAGUUGGUGGGGUAAAGGCCUACCAAGCCGACGAUCUGUAGAUGGUCCGAGAGGACGACCGGCCACAAUGGGACUGAGACACGGCCCAGACUCCUACGGGAGGCAGCAGUGGGGAAUUUUGGACAAUGGGCGCAAGCCUGAUCCAGCAAUGCCGCGUGCAGGAAGAAGGCCUUCGGGUUGUAAACUGCUUUUGUACGGAACGAAACGGUCUGGGUUAAUACCCUGGGCUAAUGACGGUACCGUAAGAAUAAGCACCGGCUAACUACGUGCCAGCCGCCGCGGUAACAC